UACGAAGGGGGGCUAGCGUUGUUCGGAAUCACUGGGCGUAAAGCGCACGUAGGCGGACUUUCAAGUCAGGGGUGAAAUCCCGGGGCUCAACCUCGGAAUUGUCUUUGAUACUGUAGGUCUCGAGUCCGGAAGAGGUGGGUGGAAUUCCUAGUGUAGAGGUGAAAUUCGUAGAUAUUAGGAAGAACACCGGUGGCGAAGGCGGCCCACUGGUCCGGUAC
rnacentral:rRNA from 1 species